rnacentral:rRNA from 1 species
UACGUAGGGUGCGAGCGUUGUCCGGAAUUAUUGGGCGUAAAGAGCUCGUAGGCGGCUUGUCACGUCUGCUGUGAAAUCCCGGGGCUCAACCCCGGGCGUGCAGUGGAUACGGGCUGGCUAGAGGCAGGCAGGGGAGAACGGAAUUCCCGGUGUAGCGGUGAAAUGCGCAGAUAUCAGGAGGAACACCGAUGGCGAAGGCAGGUCUCUGGGCAUUAACUGACGCUGAGGAGCGAAAGCAUGGGGAGCGAACAGG